AUGUCUGCAGUCUCCUCCGUUCCUGCCGCUGCUCCAGCUCCGUCUCCCGGCACCGCCGCUCCGGCAGCGCCGUUCCUGCCCGCCGCACCACCACCCACCCCAGCCCAGCCUACAAGCUCCCACCAGCAGCACGCCGCGAUCCAGCCACCGGCCCUCCUGCCUCCCGCUUCUCAGAAUACUGCAGUCCCACCGCCACCGGCAUCCAUGAUCGUCCCAUCACCCCCUCCCGCGGCCGCAGCCCCAGCCCCUGGUUCUGCAGUCCUGCCAUCUCCCGCUCUGCCCGAACCGCCCGCCACACGGACUGCUGCCAUUACAGCCUGCCGCGCUGACCUGAUGACGCAACCCACGCAUGCGCAAUUGCUGCAACACACGCAUGCGCAAUUGCUGCAACACACGCAUGCGCAAUUGCUGCAACUCCCAGAUCAGCGAUAUCACUCCGCUCACACUCCUCCAACCACAGCACCGCUCCCGGCACCAGCCGCACAUCUUCCCGCGACUCCGCCGCCUGCCUCCCUGACUCCGCCGCCGCUUCCCGGAGCCAACCCAAGCAGCACCAACUCACGCCCGCACCUCCUCGAACACCCAGCCGCGCUAUCGCCCUCUGUGCUCCCGGCACCGAAUGGGACUACUUUGUAUCACCAAUCGAUCGCACAGCUACAGCCAGGCACACAAGCCGUGCAACAAGGAGAGGGAGGGUGGAAUAUGACACCUGCUUUUAUAAAUACAGGACAGACUGAGAACUAUUCUGCCCCUGCAAAUGCCAACCCCUUAAUCCCAAUACAAAACAAUUCCGAAAAACAACUAAGUCUGUUCCCAAACAGCUCUGGUGUCCCCCCAGUGUUUGGGACAGACUUCUCAACUCAGAAAGAGACACUAAACCCUGAAGAUUCGCCUGCAUUAAUCCCAAAAGUAGAAAACUCCCAAAAAUGUUUCAAUAAUUUUCAAUUUACAGACUGGCAUGAAGUCAGACGCCAAAUUUGCAAAGAAGAAAAUCUAAAUCCUUUAGCUAUGCCUGUACUAUUCAGCCAGCAAGCUGGUGGUCCUAGAACAUGGCAAGCUAUCCCACACCAUGAGAUUAAAGAGUUGCGGAAAGCAAUAAAGGACAGUGGUAUCUGCUCUCCAUACUUUAAGCAACUGCUAAAAAGUACCCUAAAAGGAACACAUCAAACUUUAAAACGCAUUUUAAAUCAACAGAAAGGGGAAGAAGCCCAGGCUACACCUCAAAGAAGGUUGAAUAAAGCCUUGUAUGUUUAUAAUUUCUUGAAUAGCUCUGCAGAAGAGCCUGAUCCCCCCAUUUAUAGACAUUUCUUAAACAACAAAAAAGCAAAACUGAAAGAGCACCCCCCAGUUUUAAUUAAGAAUUUAGCGUCAGGAAAAAUAGAAAGACCUUAUGAUCUUAUAACGUGGGGAAAGGGAUUUGCAUGUCUCUCCACAGGUGAAGGAACCAAGUGGAUUCCAGCAAAGAACGUGAAGCUGUACCACGCAUCAAAGCCCACUGUCAGUUCCACUUCAGCCAGUGACCCCGCGAGUGGAAGCCGAGAAGCCGGCACUGAAAUGUGA
ensembl:lncRNA